rnacentral:ribozyme from 1 species
UUUUUUUUUUUUUUUUUUUUUUUUUUUUUUUUUUUUUUUUUUGUU